CACAAUUGCCCAUCCAUGAAUAUGCCCUAACUGCUAUGGCAUCAUCCCCGUUGGCUUUUGCCUUUCUGCUUCUUCGCCUCUCUGCUUGCUAGCCGCUGACAUCUGCGGAGCACCUCCAGCCGGCGCCGCCGACUCCACUGUCCUCUUCCCAGGUUGUAGACGUUUGAGUAAUCAUGAAGGUAAGGUCAUCUGUGAAGAAGAUGUGUGAGUUCUGUCGGACAGUUAAGCGUCGAGGACGUGUAUAUGUGUUAUGUACGGCCAACCCUAAGCACAAGCAAAGACAAGGCAUGUCAACAGUUGCUCAAGCAAUGUCAUCUCAUACCGUGUCCUCAGAGCCAAGUGCCAAGCAGAUUAGUUUUACCAACAGCUCACGUACAGGCCUGGCUUCCCUUCUUCCUCAAAGGCACGGCCUCUCUAUGUUGUAUGGAUGGAGGGUGGGCCUGGCCUCUAUUCUGUCUAAAAGGUAAAACAAACACGGUUAGCGCCUUGGAAUC